GACGAACGCUGGCGGCGUGCCUAAUACAUGCAAGUAGAACGCUGAAGCGAGGAGCUUGCUCUUCUUGGAUGAGUUGCGAACGGGUGAGUAACGCGUAGGUAACCUGCCUUGUAGCGGGGGAUAACUAUUGGAAACGAUAGCUAAUACCGCAUAACAAUGGAUGACACAUGUCAUUUAUUUGAAAGGGGCAAUUGCUCCACUACAAGAUGGACCUGCGUUGUAUUAGCUAGUAGGUGAGGUAAUGGCUCACCUAGGCGACGAUACAUAGCCGACCUGAGAGGGUGAUCGGCCACACUGGGACUGGGACACGGCACAGACUCCUACGGGAGGCAGCAGUAGGGAAUCUUCGGCAAUGGGGGCAACGCUGACCGAGCAACGCCGCGUGAGUGAAGAAGGUUUUCGGAUCGUAAAGCACUGUUGUAAGUCAAGAACGGGUGUGAGAGUGGAAAGUUCACACUGUGACGGUAGCUUACCAGAAAGGGACGGCUAACUACGUG
rnacentral:rRNA from 1 species